GACGAACGCUGGCGGCGUGCCUAAUACAUGCAAGUAGAACGAGUUGCGAACGGGUGAGUAAUGUCUGGGAAACUGCCCGAUGGAGGGGGAUAACUACUGGAAACGGUAGCUAAUAACGCAUACCAUCGGAUGUGCCCAGUUGGGCUUAGCUAGUAGGUGGGGUAACGGCCCACCUAGGCGACGAACCCUAGCUGGUCUGAGAGGCUGACCAGCACCACUGGAACUGAGACACGGUCCAGACUCCUACGGGAGGCAGCAGUGGGGAAUAUUGCACAAUUGGCGCAAGCCUGAUGCAGCCAUGCCGCGUGUAUGAAGAAGGCCUUCGGGUUGUAAAGUACUUUCAGCGAGGAGGCGUUACUCGCAGAAGAAGCACCGGCUAACUCCGUGCCAGCAGCCGCGGUAAUAC
rnacentral:rRNA from 1 species